rnacentral:rRNA from 1 species
AGCGAACGCUGGCGGCAGGCCUAACACAUGCAAGUCGAGCGAACUCUUCGGAGUUAGUGGCGGACGGGUGAGUAACACGUGGGAACGUGCCUUUUGGUUCGGAAUAACUCAGGGAAACUUGUGCUAAUACCGAAUGUGCCCUUCGGGGGAAAGAUUUAUCGCCAUUAGAGCGGCCCGCGUCUGAUUAGCUAGUUGGUGAGGUAACGGCUCACCAAGGCGACGAUCAGUAGCUGGUCUGAGAGGAUGACCAGCCACACUGGGACUGAGACACGGCCCAGACUCCUACGGGAGGCAGCAGUGGGGAAUCUUGCGCAAUGGGCGAAAGCCUGACGCAGCCAUGCCGCGUGAAUGAUGAAGGUCUUAGGAUUGUAAAAUUCUUUCACCGGGGACGAUAAUGACGGUACCCGGAGAAGAAGCCCCGGCUAACUUCGUG